rnacentral:rRNA from 1 species
UGAGGAAUUUUGGUCAAUGGUGGAAACACUGAACCAGCGACGCCGCGUGUGGGAUGAAGGAGCUUUGCUCUGUAAACUACUGUCGGAAGGGACAAAAAGUGGUAUGAACCACUGGGAUGGUACCUUCAAAGGAAGGAUCGGCUAACUACGUGCCAGCAGCCGCGGUAAUACGUAGGAUCCAAGCGUUGUCCGGAUUUACUGGGUGUAAAGGGUGCGCAGGCGGGCUUGUGCGUCAGAGGUUAAAGACCUUGGCUUAACCAAGGAAGUGCCUUUGAUACGGCAAGUCUUGAAUGUGAGCGAGGUAGGUAGAAUUCCUGGUGUAGCGGUGAAAUGCGUAGAUAUCAGGAGGAAUACCAGUGGCGAAGGCGGCCUACUGGCUCAUUAUUGACGCUCAGGCACGAAAGCGUGGGGAGCAAACA